rnacentral:rRNA from 1 species
AUGGGAACGCGAAGAACCUUACCUACUCUUGACAUCCAGAGAACUUUCCAGAGAUGGAUUGGUGCCUUCGGGAACUCUGAGACAGGUGCUGCAUGGCUGUCGUCAGCUCGUGUUGUGAAAUGUUGGGUUAAGUCCCGCAACGAGCGCAACCCGUUAUCCUUUGUUGCCAGCGGUUCGGCCGGGAACUCAAAGGAGACUGCCAGUGAUAAACUGGAGAAGGUGGGGAUGACGUCAAGUCAUCAUGGCCCUUACGAGUAGGGCUACACACGUAGCUACAAUGGCGCAUACAAAAGAGAAGCGACCUCGCGAGAGCAAGCGGACCUCAUAAAAGUGCGUCGUAGUCCGGAAUUGGAGUCUGCAACUCGACUCCAUGAAGUCGGAAUCGCUAGUAAUCGUAGAUCAGAA